GCAAAACUCAGCAGACCAAACUCACUGUGGGCAACCUGGGCUUAGGCCUGAUCAUCAUCCAGAAUGGGCCCUACCUCCAGAUCACCCACCUCAUCAGGACGGGGGCUGCAGCCACGGAUGGAAAACUCCAGCCAGUAGUCAGGAUUCUUCACUGCAAGCAAUCGAAAACAGUGCCUGUGAAGGCACUGAACUUAGAACCUUGAGUCUGACAGAACUGCCAGAAAGGCUGGAGAACCAGGCUUGGAAAAUGAUGACAGAACGCGGGGCUAUAUAUAACUACCCCUGGAAACCGGGUGCUUCCAUCACCCAGCUGCAUCUCCUGCCCAGGUUCAGUGACCCAGGUGAUGUUCUGAUUAGUGUUGGCCAUGCCAAUGUGUUAGGAUAUACUCUUCGAGAAUUUUUAAAACUUUUGCAACACAUCACCAUAGGAACAGUGCUACAAAUCAAGAUUUACCGAGAUUUUAUUGACAUACCCCAAGAAUGGCAAGAAAUAUAUGAUUUAAUCCCUGAGACCAAAUUCCCGGUAACACGCACAACAAAGAAAACUGAGCAGGCAAAAGACCCUUUGGCAAGCAGUGAUGACAGUGAAGAUGUAGUUUCAGAUAAAAAACUUAAGUAUUAUAAAUAUUCAAGGUCCAGUGGGCAUCACUCUGCAAGGAGACCAAUGUCUAUCUCCAGAGAAUGGCAUGGCUACAAAAAGAAGAACCGUACUAUUAGUGUAGGAAAAGGCAUUAAUGCUGAUGUGGUGAUUCACAGAGAUCCCAAGAGAGAAGUGAGGCCCCCUUCUCCAUACUGGACAAUGGUGAAGCGAGACAACCAAAGCUCUUCCUCAUCCACAGCCUCCUCUACCUCUGAUGCAUUUUGGCUAGAAGACUUUGCCCAAGUUGAAAAGGGCAGGGGUCAACCUGUAUCAAAAGUGGCUUAGGCAGCAGUAUGCAAACUGGUGAUCACAUGAGCAUCUAAUUUUUGUGCAUUGCUAUGCACAGGUUUGCUAUACUUACAGGAGGAAUAUGUGCAGACGUACCCAUUCUUUCACAAGUGCAUUCUGAUGCCGUCAGAGACAUUCUUCAAUGUGAUAAUCCAAAGACUUCCCUGGGGUCAGACAGGCCUCACCACCUUAUUCUCAAAAGAGCAACAUCAUUAACACACUCCCUUCUGAGAAGAACAUCUCAUCUUUUACAAAAUGCGGCAGAGGAACCCAGGACCAGAAUGUAUGAACAUAGAGAGAAUUUCAAUUUUUAAGGUGGAGCUGUUGGGGAGAAGAUGGUGGAGACCUCUACAAUGCAAGAGGAGUCGACAUUUUUCAUGUGGAAAAAACUGGGAAAACCCACUGAUUGUGGAUUUGUUCUGUAGUUCAUAUAUUUGUUAGGCAUAGUAGAGAGUACAAAAAGGUAUAAGAUACGGUCCUGGCCCUUAAAACAAUUCAGUCUCACAAUAAUAUAUGUGAAAAAAAAAAAAAAAGCAAUAGCAGAAUGUCUCCUGCUGAGAAGAUGAACAAAAAUCCUGAGAUCCUGGAUCGUGCGGGAUUGGCACGACAGUUUGUUUCUCGGGAGGAGAACAAACACCGAACUCAACUAUUAGGUUGAAUCACAUGAAAUUACCAAUAAUUCAACUCUUCUUGACCUCUAAGAAUUUAAAAUGGUUUAACCUAUUGGUAAUUUAGUUGAAUGAGGAAGAUACAUACACCCCAAGUUGAUGAGCCAUUUACAGACGUGAUGGUAAUGAGCCCUCCUACCUCCACACCAGGUGGACAGGCACCAAACAGCAGGACAGUGACAUAUAUAGCCCAAGGGAACUUAUGCAUUCCUUCUGAAAUUGGGUCGAGGUCAAAUUGUUUGAUGUUAAAUCAUAAGUUUUCAUUUGCUUACAUUUACAACAUCUGUGUCUGCUACGGAGUCAAUCUGCUGAAGGACUGUGGCUGGUGGUGUGUAUGAACCAGCAACCAGAGCCUGGGACCCGACUUCAUCCAGGAACUCCUCAGAAGACUCCACUGACAUUAGGUAGCCAGCUUUCAGCUUGUUCCUGUCCAGUAAAAAAUAUGUAACUAAGCAGAAGCCAGUCUUAUAAGAGCGAGACAAUUUUAAACUCAAACUCAAACAUGUUUUGAAAGACUAAGAAUCUUACAAGAAAAAUAUCAACUCUAUCAAAAUGGCAGAAAACAAACACAUUGACAUUAAAAACUGAAAUUCCCUUUUCUACGUGUUACUGUACCUUAUAAAAACUGUGGGGCACUUAAGGAAAUACAUUUUCUGAAAUAAAUUAGAUUUGAAAACAAUUUUUCUUCUGUAAAUCCAGUGUUUCAGUUUAUUCUCAUCAUGUUUUGUUUCUAGUACAAUCAUGUAGAAUUGCAUCCUAUCAAUCAAUCCUUGGUUCCAUGUUUGUAAUAUUUAAUAAACUGUACUUAUUCAAGAGAUGCAAUUUUCUAGUGUUCUCAGUGUAACAGAAAUACUACUACUAAUGGGAACAGAAAUGACCGAGAAGUUGUUCCCUCCUGGGUUGUAAUUUGCCCUGUCAUACUUCCUUGGUGGGUCAUAUUAAAUGACCAUGAAGACAGUUUGAGUUUUACGAGUCCCAUUUUAAACUGUCCUAAAUGGGUGGAAUCAAAUAAAUCUUUUAAACUGCUGUAUGAAAACACAAGCUGAUUUGUUCGAGACUCUCCCUGAAGAUAUUGAGGGGUAUUGCUGGCACUUUCAAUGGGAAUUUAAAAAUCACCAAAUAGGAGACAGGUAUUUCCAUCUUUUAAUCAGAUCCUCCUUUAUCCGUGGGGCAUUACCUUCCAAGACCCCCAGUGGAUGCCUAAAACCACAGUACCAAACCCUACAUAUCCUAUGCUUUUCUUAUACUUACACACAUAUAUUUUUUUAGAAGGUGUUUUUUUAAAGUUUAUUUUGAGAGAGUGCGAGUAGAGGAGGGGCAGAGAGAGAAGACAAUCCCAAGUAGACUCUGUGCUAUUAGUGUGGAGCCUGAUGUGAGGCUCGAACUCAUGAACUGUGAGAUCAUGACCUGAGCCAAAACCAAGAGUCAUACACUUAACCAAAUGAGCCACUCAGGUGCCCCUUAAUUUAUAAAUCAGGCACACUGAGGGAUUAACAGUAACUACUAAUAAAAGAGAACAAUUAUAACAAUAUGCUAUAAUAAAAGUUAUGUGAAUAUGGUCUGUCCCUCUCAUUUAAAAAUAUUUUAUUGUCCUGUACUCUCCUUUCUUCUUGUGAUGAUGUGAGAUGACAAAAUGCCUGUGUGAUGGGAUGAAGUGAGGUGAGUGCCGUAGGUGUUGUGACAUAAUGUUCAACUACUUGUGAUUUUCUGACAAUAAGUCAGGAGGGGGAUUAUCUGGUUCUAGAUGGUGGCUGACUGCAGGUAACUGGAAAGCUAAACCACGGAUAAGGGGGCACUAUUGUAUUUUCUGGUCUAUCAAAUCAGUAAAGAGGUAAAAAAAAAAAAA